rnacentral:rRNA from 1 species
GAUGAACGCUGGCGGCGUGCCUAAUACAUGCAAGUCGAGCGAACAGACGAGGAGCUUGCUCCUCUGACGUUAGCGGCGGGCGGGUGAGUAACACGUGGAUAACCUACCUAUAAGACUGGGAUAACUUCGGGAAACCGGAGCUAAUACCGGAUAACAUGUUGAACCGCAGGGUUCAACAGUGAAAGACGGUCUUGCUGUCACUAAUAGAUGCAUCUGAGCCGCAUUGGGUAGUUGGUGAGGUAAAGGCUUACCAAGGCAAGGAUGCGUGUACGAGAUGAUUGGGUGAUCGGCCACCUUGGAACUGAGACACCCACCAUACUCCUACGGUAGGCACCAGUAGGCUAUCUUCCGCAAUAGUCGAAAGCCUGACGGAGCAGCGCCACGUGAGUUGAGACAGUCUUCGGAUCGUAAAGCUCUCUUAUUAGUUAAGAACAAAUGUGUAAUUAGCUAUACACUUCUUGACGGUACCUAGUCAGAAAGCCACGGCUAACUACGUG